rnacentral:rRNA from 1 species
AGAGUUUGAUCAUGGCUCAGAAACGAACGUUGGCGGUGUGGAUUAGGCAUGCAAGUCGAACGAAUGCUGUCUGUGUAGCAAUACAUGGGCAUAGGAAGUGGCGAAAGGGGCAGUAAUGCAUGGAUAACCUACCUUGGGGUUGGGCAUAGCCGUUCUAACGGACGGGUAAUUCCCAGAGAUUCAGCGGGGCGGCAUCGUCUUGCUGGGAAAGAAUUUCGCCUCGAGAGGGGUCCAUGUGCUAUUAGCUAGUUGGUGAGGUAACGGCUCACCAAGGCUAAGAUGGCUAGCGGGUGUGAGAGCACGACCCGCGCCACUGGCACUGAGACACUGGCCAGACACCUACGGGUGGCUGCAGUCGAGGAUCUUCGUCAAUGGGCGCAAGCCUGAACGAGCGACACCGCGUGCGCGAUGAAGGCCUUCGGGUUGUAAAGCGCGAAAGUGGAGAGAAAGGGCAACUUGAUCAAUCCACAGUAAGGACGGGCUAAGUUCGUGCCAGCAGCCGCGGUAAGACGAACUGUCCUAACGUUGUUCGGAAUCACUGGGCUUAAAGGGCGCGUAGGCGGUCCGACAAGUCGGGGGUGAAAUCCUGCAGCUUAACUGCAGAAGUGCCUUCGAUACUGUCGGUCUUGAGGGAGAUAGGGGUGUGCGGAACUUCCAGUGGAGCGGUGAAAUGCGUUGAUAUUGGAAGGAACGCCGGAGGCGAAAGCGGCGCACUGGAUCUCUACUGACGCUGAGGCGCGAAAGCCAGGGGAGCAAACGGGAUUAGAUACCCCCGUAGUCC